UUAAGUAUUUUCAUUUUAUGCUACAUUAUACUUCCAUUGCACUAUGUUUGUAUGAUAGCUGUAGUUAUUCACUGGUUACUUUACAGAGUAAGACUGAAAAUAGAGUAUAUGAUUUUUUUUUUCAUGUAACAUCACAUAUCAGUCAGUGAAUAUUGACCUUAAUAUAUGAUAAUGUAUCACAGGGCCCUGCAAAAUAAGUACUUUUACUUAUACUUUUAGACUUUUACAUUAAUAGGAUUUUGAAAGUUUUGAGGGCUUUUAUCGUUGCAUUAAUAGAAGUGAAAUAUGUGAAUACUUCUUCAACCACUGGUGUCCCAAUAGAGUUCGUUUUAGGAAAACAGAAAUUACGUGCUGGAAUGUGGUGUUGGACAGGCUGAAUAUGUUCAGUAGUUGGUUAAGUGUAUGAGCAUGAAGUCAUGACAAAAAGGAGCCCAAUUUUUGUUUGGCAUGAGAUCAAGCAAGAAAGUGCAGUCGCUGCCCCACACUGCAGCUCUGUGGGUAAAACACAGCACUUUGUUCAUUUGUCCCAGGGCCAAGAGGACACAUUUUUCAACUGAAAGUCAUCUUUUCAUCUGAGCCCGCCAACUUAUGCCUGAUGUUAUCUUUUAUAGGGCAGCUGCAGCUCAUAUUCUUACAGAAAUAAUGGGAUUUUCUUAACAGAGCCUGAAAUUUGAAUGAGCGAGAGAGGUUGGAAGUUACUGUACUACUGCAGUGAUGUCAUCUCAGUGGCGUGUGUGUGUGUGUGUGUGUUUUAAUAGGAAAGCAGGAGAUGGGACCUCUGCUGUAUUUUCUAUUGAAUCUCUGUCCAAAAGCAGCACUGUGUCUUUCUUUUACCAGAACAUUUGUCAGACUAAACCACCAAACUGUUUGUGGUUUGGAAACUUGGUUUAGCUGAAAGGAAACUCCUGAGGGCUUGUUUUGUUUUGUUUUCUUUCUUUUUUUUACGGUCUAUAGGAACAUUCUUCCUAAAGAUGUUAGGCCUUUUAUGGUCCCAGUUCAGAGAAGGCUACGAAAAGUCAAACAUCUAACUCAAAACAUUCAUAUUAAAACAUGUAUCUCACUGGACAGUGUGGACAGUUUCGCCAUUUUUGCUAUUCUUCUCAUACUUAAAAAAGUCUCAUCAUUAAAUUUGUUGCUGGACUAAUUUUAUAUAUAACUUCUAGUUUGGAGGAUUUCAGCUGCCUGUUCAGUAAAUUAAUAUAUGAUGCAGAUGUAGUAGGAUUUUCUUUUUUCUUAAAGGAAUAGUUGGGAAAUACACUUGUUUGCUUUCUAAGAUGGAUGGGAAGAUUGAUAUCAUGGUAACAUCUGUCUGUUGAAUGUAAAUUAACAGCAAGAAGACAGUUGAUGUGACAUGUUCAUUUGUGAUCUUUAAAGAUUCUGGUAGGUGGUUUUGUUCUUCAGGAAGGCCCGCUGUUUUUCUUUUCUUUAUACUAAGCUAACCAGCUGCUGGUUGUAGCUUGACAUUUAGCAGACAAAUAAGAGUGGUAUAAGUCUUUUUUUUUUAUAGUAACCCUUCUCAGGUCUCUAGCAGAAAGCAAUCAAGGGUAGCAGAGCCAUGCAUAAGCGUAUGACAGUUUGGACUCAGUAAUCAAAUAACAUAUAGCAUAUUAAUCAGUGGGCUUUAGAGGCCUACUGUUAAGCAGAUUUUGAUACCUUGACACAGGCAGGGUGGUUCUUCUGUUUCUAUGUUGCCGGGGUCCCAUAUUCCCAAGAUCCAGGGUUGUGUUAGAGUUAUUUCACUCGAACACAAAAUGAAGGUUAGGUGCUAUUUAACAAUAAACAGAUGUUUCUCAAACAGAUUAAUAUUUGGAUUGAUAUUUUAUUUGCAAAAGAGCAAAUAAGUGUAUUUUCCAGAAUGUUAAACUGUUCUCUUAAUUGAGCUCCAAGACUGAUGAACUUGACUUGGUUGGUUGUUUGUUCUCUCUGACAAGAGAGCCACAUGAUUUUAUGACUCAAAAUAGAUGGACAGAUGAUUAACCUGGUGUAAACAUACACAAAUACAUCCAGAAUGCAAUCAUGCUUCUUUUUACUUGACUAAAUGAUCGGUUUGAUCUUUGUUUCUUUUUUGUUUUAGUUGCUCAGUGGACACAUUCAAUAAGCCUGAUUGCUAACAGUUUAGCCCUGUAGUCAUUCUGCCUAGACAGUCUCUCUGCUUUAUGGCCCACAACAGAAACCACAAACCGACAUUUGAAAAACUGUGCUGCCCUGGCCCUGCUCUCAGUCAUCAUUACCACCCAGCUAUCUCCAGCACACAGUGACUUUGGUGGAUCCAUGUGCGUCCACUGGCUGCGAACAGGGAUAUAUAAAGGUCCAUUUAACAACAGAUUCUGCACACAGAUAUAUGCCACUCAUAAAUUCACUCUCAGUCUUUGUCUCAAUCCCUGUUUUUUGUGUGUUAGGCUGCGGGUGGGGGUGGGGGGUACAGACCUACAUUCUCCAUCCAAGCCUGAACGAUGACCUCAUGGGGCCUGCAGCUGCCAUCACCGUUCUCGCAGGAGUUAAUAGGAACAUGGUUGGACUGGAAUGUCUUGUGUAAUGUGUGAGCCAUAUGACAGUUAUUAAUCAAACAGCAGUAUGCUCAGCCACUAUCUGGGCUUUGAAUCAGACCACAGUAUGAGCACCAGAGAGAGGACGAAUUCCAGCUGAUGCUACAGUCCCAGUUUUUCGUUUGAAUCCUAAAAUAAAACAGCAGCUUGGGAUACACCACA